rnacentral:lncRNA from 1 species
CCUGCGUGCUUUUAAUCACCGCAAUAUUCACCACCAAUAUAAUUUCCAUUGUUUUUCAGGAUCCUCAGGAAUGGAAGCAAUAAAUGUGACUUGUCUAUUAUUGGCCCAUUACAUCCAAGAGCAGCCUUUCCUCUCCUGUAUGUGGUUCUGUCAUUCCCCAAGCAAUUAAUGUCAAAAGUGAGGAGCAGGCAUUUGCAAAGAGGCCAAUUAAAGACUACAUCAUUGUCAAAAUGUCUGAAAGCCAGAAACCCAGCAGGCAAGAGAAUCAUGGCAGGAAGAUGGAGUACUUUGCCUUUGGUCCCACGUGUGGACCCAAGUUGCUUCUAUGGACUCAAGGAGAUAUUAGCAGCCAUGGAAUGCAAGGUGAUGAAACUGCCUCCAGUGAAACCUGACAUAAAGGUCAUUAAAUUAUUACAAUAGAUUAAUUAUAGAAAUUCACAACAAAAAUUUGUUUAGGCUUCCAC